UACGGAGGGUGCAAGCGUUGUUCGGAAUUAUUGGGCGUAAAGCGCGUGUAGGCGGCUUGCUAAGUCUGAUGUGAAAGCCCUGGGCUCAACCCAGGAAGUGCAUUGGAAACUGGUCGGCUUGAGUACGGGAGAGGGUAGUGGAAUUCCGAGUGUAGGGGUGAAAUCCGUAGAUAUUCGGAGGAACACCGGUGGCGAAGGCGGCUACCUGGACCGAUACUGACGCUGAGACGCGAAAGCGUGGGGAGCAAACAGGAUUAGAUACCCUGGUAGUCCACGCCGUAAACGAUGGGUACUAGGUGUCGCGGGUAUUGACCCCUGCGGUGCCGAAGCUAACGCAUUAAGUACCCCGCCUGGGGAGUACGGCCGCAAGGCUAAA
rnacentral:rRNA from 1 species